CGCUAAUACCGCAUACGUCCUACGGGAGAAAGCAGGGGACCUUCGGGCCUUGCGCUAUCAGAUGAGCCUAGGUCGGAUUAGCUAGUUGGUGAGGUAAAGGCUCACCAAGGCGACGAUCCGUAACUGGUCUGAGAGGAUGAUCAGUCACACUGGAACUGAGACACGGUCCAGACUCCUACGGGAGGCAGCAGUGGGGAAUAUUGGACAAUGGGCGAAAGCCUGAUCCAGCCAUGCCGCGUGUGUGAAGAAGGUCUUCGGAUUGUAAAGCACUUUAAGUUGGGAGGAAGGUGUAUUAAGUUAAUACCUUGCUGUUUUGAUGUUAGCGACAGAAUAAGCACCGGCUAACUUCGUGCCAGCAGCCGCGGUAAUACGAAGGGUGCAAGCGUUAAUCGGAAUUACUGGGCGUAAAGCGCGCGUAGGUGGUUCAGCAAGUUGGAUGUGAAAGCCCCGGGCUCAACCUGGGGAACUGCAUCCAAAACUACUGAGCUAGAGUACGGUAGAGGGUGGUGGAAUUUCCUGUGUAGCGGUGAAAUG
rnacentral:rRNA from 1 species